AUACUCUGGCUUCUCUUCAGUUGUCGAAUAAAUCUUCCGCCUUUUACUAAAGAUUUCCGUGGAGGGGAGCAACUCAAAUGAGUCUAAAAUGAAAAAUUUUUGAAGAUCCUUUCUAUGAAAGGAUC